AGCGAACGCUGGCGGCAGGCCUAACACAUGCAAGUCGAACGAACCUUUCGGGGUUAGUGGCGGACGGGUGAGUAACACGUGGGAACGUGCCUUUAGGUUCGGAAUAACUCAGGGAAACUUGUGCUAAUACCGAAUGUGCCCUUCGGGGGAAAGAUUAAUCGCCUUUAGAGCGGCCGGCGUCUGAUUAGCUAGUUGGUUGAGGUAAUGGCUCACCAAGGCGACGAUCAGUAGCUGGUCUGAGAGGAUGAUCAGCCACAUUGGGACUGAGACACGGCCCAAACUCCUACGGGAGGCAGGAGUGGGGAAUCUUGCGCAAUGGGCGAAAGCAUGACGCAGCCAUGCCGCGUGAAUGAUGAAGGUCUUAGGAUUGUAAAAUUCUUUCACCGGGGACGAUAAUGACGGUACCCGGAGAAGAAGCCCCGGCUAACUUCGUG
rnacentral:rRNA from 1 species